AGGAAUCUGCCUAUUAGUGGGGGACAACAUCUCGAAAGGGAUGCUAAUACCGCAUACGUCCUACGGGAGAAAGCAGGGGACCUUCGGGCCUUGCGCUAAUAGAUGAGCCUAAGUCGGAUUAGCUAGUUGGUGGGGUAAAGGCCUACCAAGGCGACGAUCUGUAGCGGGUCUGAGAGGAUGAUCCACCACACUGGGACUGAGACACGGCCCAGACUCCUACGGGAGGCAGCAGUGGGGAAUAUUGGACAAUGGGGGGAACCCUGAUCCAACCAUGCCGCGUGUGUGAAGAAGGCCUUUUGGUUGUAAAGCACUUUAAGCGAGGAGGAGGCUACCGAGAUUAAUACUCUUGGAUAGUGGACGUUACUCGCAGAAUAAGCACCGGCUAACUCUGUGCCAGCAGCCGCGGUAAUACAGAGGGUGCAAGCGUUAAUCGGAUUUACUGGGCGUAAAGCGCGCGUAGGUGGCCAAUUAAGUCAAAUGUGAAAUCCCCGAGCUUAACUUGGGAAUUGCAUUCGAUACUGGUUGGCUAGAGUAUGGGAGAGGAUGGUAGAAUUCCAGGU
rnacentral:rRNA from 1 species